GGCGGAUCGCGAGCGCGGGCCGCGGGGUCCGGUUCAGGACCCUCGCUCGGGAUCUGCCCCUCGGCCGCCUUCCAGCUGGGGAGCCGGCUGGAGCGCGGGCUGCCCUCCUCCUCCGCUGACAAAGGAGAGGAAACAAAGGCCCAAAGAAGAGUUCCGCCCGGGGCGGAACGUGGCAGGGCUCGCAACAGAACCGUCUCCGGAGAUCCCUCUCCUCUGCACCACUUGGAGGCUCCACGGAGAGGCAGCGGUGCGCGGGGCGACGGGGAGCUGCCAGAGAAGUCGGUGGUGGGCAUGAGUGGGUGAGACGGGCCCACUGAGGUUUCUGGCAGUGGUGAGCCAUGGAAGGUUUCUGAACAGAGCACUUAUUGGGAGCUGUCAGAGCUGUGCUUCAGGAGAUGAAUCUGGCAACAACGUGGGUAGGAUGGACAGAUGAUGAUUGGUCAGUGAAGGAGGAGGGGACUGAGGAGAGAGGGUUGUCAUGGAAGCCAAGUGAGAAGAGGAUUUAAUAGAGGAGGAGGAGGAGGUUGCUAACAGUAUCUGAUGCCGCAGAAAGCAGGUGGGGAUCAGAAGGGGACUUUGGAAGCAGUGGCAAAACCACCAGUGACCUUUGAGAGAAUGAUGUUGGUGACCAGGCAGGGGCUGAACCCAGAUCAAAGUGGGAGGAGGAGCAACUGGAAGGUGAAAAAUCAGAGGCAGCAGGUGUCCUCUCUGCUUUUGAGAAGUUUGGUGGUGGAUGGAAUGAGCAAGGUAGAUGAGAAGCUUGGAGAGGCUUAGCAAGACAGACCAAGAGGCUUAUUUUCUCUUUUUUCAUCAAAAGCUACUGAGCAUUUUGUAGUCAGAAGGAAAAGAGCUAGUGGACAGUGAGGGAGUGGAGAAGCAAGUGUAAGAAGUGAAGUAGGUUGUCGUUUAUGGAGCAAGCCCUGGGUUGGGGGGCACUGAGGGUGGGAAGGGGUCAGCCUUGGAAAGGAGAAGACCCAUCUUUCUCUGAGCCUGGAGGGAAGGUGAAGAGAAUAGUGAAGGUAGAAGUUUUGGUGGGGAGUAGUGAAGGUGGAAGUUUAUAAUAAGGUCAUUACAGUACAGUGGGAGCUGAAGUUAUCUGCAGAGAGAGGUUGGAAGCUGGCUUCAGAUUUCACAAUUGAGAAAGCCAAAGGGCGUGUUAAGGGGAGUAUGACUACGAAGCUUCCAAAAUCUACAGGGAGAAAGGAGCAAGCAUCAUCUAUGUGUCUUCAUAGGGAAAAGUCAGGACCAAUAGUCAUAUUUUUGGAGGAGGUAGAUUUCAGUUUGGUCUAGGCAAGACUGUUGAGGGAUCUUAGUUGAUUGACAAUGGAUUGACCUCCCAGUCACUUUUCAGACUCAGGCUGCAAGCCCAUUCAUCAGGCAUGCUGUGCAUGGGCUUCUUGCCCUGGCAUGGAGCAUGGAUGCAGUGAGUCCACGCUCCCUCCUGGCCCUGAGACUUGAUAACUGCAGGAAUGACAGCCCACUUGAAGAGCAGGCCGUUGGGCUCACCUUUCUCACUGACCUCAGGGCUGGAGGCAUGAGGGGGCAACUAGACAAAAGAUCAGCCCUGGGGAAGGUGCCAUCCCUAGGAAACUCUCCUCUGAGCCCUCCCUUGACUUCCACAGGUUCUUUCAGAGAGGCAGCUGUUGGGCUUGGAAAAGGCCCAAAGUCAAUACAAUAAUGACUUCCCCUCCCAGCCAUGUCCCAGGCCCCUCUGUGUCAUUCAGAAAUUGGCUAAUAAAGUUUACUUUGAUG
ensembl:lncRNA